UUCAAACAGAGGAGGAUUAAAAUGCCAGGAAUAGGUGUGGAAGAAUUGCAAGAGCAAAAAACUGAUUCUCACACAAGUCUAUCUUGCUGAUAGAAGAUUAAUAAUGUACAGAACCCUGGAGCCAAAGGAAUCUGUCUAUGUGCCUAUCAACUACGGAGCCCAGAAUGUACAGAGGAUAAUUGAAGAAGGAAGCUUAGAGGAGAAAAGAACAGGU